rnacentral:lncRNA from 1 species
CUCUGUCAAGUUGGAUGAGGAGCAUCGCUGCACAGCUAUUUUCAGUGAUUUGACCUACGCACCGCUACUGCUACUCAUGUGAAGCUGAGAUACGUAAGAUACGCAGUGAGACCUUAGUGAAUACGCCGUUACCGUGACAACAUUGAGAAAAGCAUGGUCAUGUAUGGCCAAGUGUGUGUAAUUGAAGAAUCUGAUGAUGUCCGGUGUAGCAAUUGAGGUAGAAUGCACGUUGACGAAUUCCCAGAGUGCCCUGCUAGGGUGAAGGAGUUUGAAGUAACAAGGAUCUGUGCUGUACAGCAGGUCUCCUACAGGGCGGGAAGUAGUUGAAGGAGCAAGGAUCUGUGCUGUACAGCAGGUCUCCUACAGGGAGGGAAGUAUUUGAAGGAGCAAGGAUCUGUGCUGUACAGCAGGUCUCCUACAGGGAGGGAAGUAGUUGAAGUAACAAGGAUCUGUGCUGUACAGCAGGUCUCCUACAGGGAGGGAAGUAGUUGAAGGAGCAAGGAUCUGUGCUGUACAGCAGGUCUCCUACAGGGAGGGAAGUAGUUGAAGGAGCAAGGGGAGUUGUGGAAGCUAUGGCAGUGGAUGCCCCGCAGCCUGUAGAGAUUCACAAUGUCGUUCACCAGUUGAAGGAUACACAGAUUGUAACGAAGUUGGAUUUUGUGGCAGUUAUUACGCAGAUGAUUAACAGUACUGCCCAAAAGAACAAUACAUUUAAGAAACUGGAUAUAAUUGUAUGUGCUGCUGAAAGGUUUUUGUAAUUAACAGCCGAAACAUUGCAGGGCUGGCUCGCAGUCGGUGUUCCAAUUCAUCCCAAUUGUGUUUGAUGGAUUUGAGGGCAGGGCUCUGUGCAGGCCUGUCAAGUUCUUCCACAAACCAGGAAUUUACAGCUGAAGCAUUGCAGGGAAUACUGACUGAAGACUUUCCCCACUCCCAGGCCCCUGAGCCUGUGUAGGGAUGUGAUUUAGAUUGGACUGUGACAGAAGGAGUGGGAUCGUUUUUUGAUUGAUCUAUUUUCGUAUUUUGUCUGAUGUCGUUUUCCCCGCUUUUCUGGAAUGGGCAUUACUUUAUUUCCCCCCAGUUCACUAACUGUACAGUAGGUGGCAACAUACACAUUCAAUUUGUGUGAACGAAACAGGAACUUCCGGGCAGGCGCAAGCCAUUCUUCAGAAUAAAGAAAGCGCCAGAACUCUGAUGUUAAUAUGAUAACUUUUGUCUCCGUAUUAAAUGUAUGGCUACAGGCUGACUCAGAUUAAGUCUGAGGCCAGUAACAUCAACAGUGAGGACAAACCCAGCCUGCCUCUCUCCCUCCACACUGAGUCCAAACCUACAGUCACUGGGUCCUGAUUGUGACAGUGGAUCCCAGUUUGCACUGCAGGAUCCAGAGAUGGCAUCAGUGAAGCUGGAAGACUGCAGUCAAACACUGGAGCUGAAUGUCAACAUUAAAGAUGAAGAAGAGGAGGAGGAGAUUAGGACAACUGUUAAU